UGGGGAAUUUUGGACAAUGGGCGAAAGCCUGAUCCAGCAAUGCCGCGUGUGUGAAGAAGGCCUUCGGGUUGUAAAGCACUUUUGUCCGGAAAGAAAUCCUCUGGGUUAAUACCUCGGGGGGAUGACGGUACCGGAAGAAUAAGUACCGGCUAACUACGUGCCAGCAGCCGCGGUAAUACGUAGGGUGCAAGCGUUAAUCGGAAUUACUGGGCGUAAAGCGUGCGCAGGCGGUUUUGUAAGACGGAUGUGAAAUCCCCGGGCUUAACCUGGGAACUGCAUUCGUGACUGCAAGGCUAGAGUAUGGCAGAGGGGGGUAGAAUUCCACGUGUAGCAGUGAAAUGCGUAGAGAUGUGGAGGAAUACCGAUGGCGAAGGCAGCCCCCUGGGCCAAUACUGACGCUCAUGCACGAAAGCGUGGGGAGCAAACAGGAUUAGAUACCCUGGUAGUCCACGCCCUAAACGAUGUCAACUAGUUGUUGGGGAUUCAUUUCCUUAGUAACGUAGCUAACGCGUGAAGUUGACCGCCUGGGGAGUACGGUCGCAAGAUUAAAACUUAAAUGAAUUGACGGGGUCAUAGCUGUUUCCUG
rnacentral:rRNA from 1 species